AGUGAACGCUGGCGGUAGGCCUAACACAUGCAAGUCGAACGGCAGCAUAGUAAGAGCUUGCUCUUACGGGUGGCGAGUGGCGGACGGGUGAGGAAUACAUCGGAAUCUACUUUUUCGUGGGGGAUAGCGUAGGGAAACUUACGCUAAUACCGCAUACGACCUACGGGUGAAAGCAGGGGAUCUUCGGACCUUGCGCGAUUGAAUGAGCCGAUGUCGGAUUAGCUAGUUGGCGGGGUAAAGGCCCACCAAGGCGACGAUCCGUAGCUGGUCUGAGAGGAUGAUCAGCCACACUGGAACUGAGACACGGCCCAGACUCCUACGGGAGGCAGCAGUGGGGAAUAUUGGACAAUGGGCGCAAGCCUGAUCCAGCCAUACCGCGUGGGUGAAGAAGGCCUUCGGGUUGUAAAGCCCUUUUGUUGGGGAAGAAAAGCAGCAAGUUAAUACCCCGCUGUUCUGACGGUACCCAAAGAAUAAGCACCGGCUAACUUCGUG
rnacentral:rRNA from 1 species